rnacentral:rRNA from 1 species
AGUGAACGCUGGCGGUAGGCCUAACACAUGCAAGUCGAACGGCAGCACAGUAAGAGCUUGCUCUUACGGGUGGCGAGUGGCGGACGGGUGAGGAAUACAUCGGAAUCUACUUUUUCGUGGGGGAUAACGUAGGGAAACUUACGCUAAUACCGCAUACGACCUACGGGUGAAAGCAGGGGAUCUUCGGACCUUGCGCGAUUGAAUGAGCCGAUGUCGGAUUAGCUAGUUGGCGGGGUAAAGGCCCACCAAGGCGACGAUCCGUAGCUGGGCUGAGGGGAUGGUCCGCCACACUGGAACUGAGACGCGGUCCAGGCUCCUACGGGAGGCAGCAGUGGGGAAUAUUGGAAAAUGGGCGCAAGCCUGAUCCAGCCAUACCGCGUGGGUGAAGAAGGCCUUCGGGUUGUAAAGCCCUUUUGUUGGGAAAGAAAAGCAGCAGGUUAAUACCCCGCUGUUCUGACGGUACCCAAAGAAUAAGCACCGGCUAACUUCGU